GGGCCCGCACAAGCGGUGGAGCAUGUGGUUUAAUUCGAUGAUACGCGAGGAACCUUACCAGGGCUUAAAUGUAGUCUGACAGCUUUAGAGAUAGAGUUUUCUUCGGACAGAUUACAAGGUGCUGCAUGGUUGUCGUCAGCUCGUGCCGUGAGGUGUCAGGUUAAGUCCUAUAACGAGCGCAACCCCUGUUGUUAGUUGCCAGCGAGUAAUGUCGGGAACUCUAACAAGACUGCCGGUGCAAACCGUGAGGAAGGUGGGGAUGACGUCAAAUCAUCAUGCCCCUUAUGUCUUGGGCUUCACGCAUGCUACAAUGGCAAGUACAGACGGCUGCUAACCCGCGAGGGGGAGCUAAUCCGACAAAACUUGUCGUAGUCCGGAUCGAAGUCUGCAACUCGACUUCGUG
rnacentral:rRNA from 1 species